AACGAACGCUGGCGGCAGGCUUAACACAUGCAAGUCGAACGCAUCCUUCGGGGUGAGUGGCUGACGAGUGAGUAACGUGUGGGAACAUGCGCUUCAGUUUGGGUUACGCCAGGGAAACUUGGGCUAAUACCGGAUAUGUGAGAGAGCAGUAAGAUUUAUCGCUGAAGGAUCGACCCGCGUCUGAUUAGCUAGUUGGUGGGGUAAUGGCCCACCAAGGCGACGAUCAGUAGCUGGUCUGAGAGAGUGAGCAGCCACAUUGGGACUGAGACACGGCCCAAACUCCUACGGGAGGCAGCAGUGGGGAAUAUUGGACAAUGGGCGCAAGCCUGAUCCAGCGAUGCCGCGUGAGUGAAGAAGUCCUUAGGGUUGUAAAGCUCUUUCAUCCGGGACGAUAAUGACGGUACCGGAAGAAGAAGCCCCGGCUAACUUCGUGCCAGCCGCCGCCGUAA
rnacentral:rRNA from 1 species